GACAAGGCGGGCAAUCCACCAGCGGGAGCGUUGGCAGGCCCGGGGUCAGAUCCUGAUUCAGCCAGUUAAUUGCUCGUGGAUGGCAGAGCUGUGUGUUGUCCGUGGUCAGACACACAGGAAGUCUGAAUUGUUAUCCUGUUCUGCCACUGAAAUGUGUAAAAUAUAGGGGGAGUGUCCCAAGUCAUUUUCCUAAAAGCAUCAUCCAACUAUGAGCUGAACACUGCCCCGAGAAUGCAACAGAACUUCAGCUCUGUCCCAAGGUCGUCAGCCACAGCUCCAAGUUUCUUAGCAUCAGCUUUUUCUGAACAAAAUAGUGCAUCCUGCUGGAAUCACUACUGUAAACUGAGUAUAAAGGAAAAUAAACCCUCUUUUUCUUAUCAAAAAAAAAAAAAAA
rnacentral:lncRNA from 1 species